GCGCAGGAGCACCGAGGGAAGCGGGCACGGACCGCGGGGCACAGGGGCGACUCGCCGCGGGGCUCACCUCUGCAGCUCCUCCUCCUGGAUCCUCUCCUCGUCCCACACGAAGACGCCGGCGAGCGCCGCCAUCAAGGCAGAGGCAUGGCCCGGGCGGCCGCGCAGCCGGCGCCAGAGGCGUCCGAGCAGGACGCAGCGCGCGCUCUCCGAGUAGAGGCGGCCGUAGAGCUGCGCGAUCUGCUGCGAGCGCCGCACGCGCAGGCCCGUCACGAAGCGGCACUGAUUGGCCAGCAGGCCCAGCAGGCCCCCGCCCCGCGCGCCCGCCAACCAGGCGGCCAGGCCGGCCGGCGGCCUCCGCGGGAACAUGCCGCCGCCGCGACGCCGCGGGCCGCGGAGCCGGCGCGGGAGGGCGCGGGAGGGCGCGGGAGGGCGCGGGAGGGCGCGGGCGGCCGUCCGCCGGGUCUCCUAACUGGCCGGCCCGGAGCCCGUCUCACGUCGCCCGGGCCAGGCGCCGCCCCUCAUGUCUCCGCGGCAGCCGCUGAGAAGAGCCCCCUCCGGGGCGAGCGCCGCUGCAGGACACGCUCGGGCUCGGCCCCUCGCUGCUCCGCGUGUCCAGCGGGCGCCGGGGUCGCGGUGCGAGGCUCGCGGGAACCGACGAGGCGGGCGACCCGGGCCCCGCGGCAGGAAAGGUCCCGGGCACUCUGAGUCCGCCACACGCGCCGCCCGCCCGCAACCUACCCGCGUCUCCGCCGCCCGGGCUCUGAUUGGCCGCGAUCCCGACGCCGUGGCGCUCAUUGGCGGCGCCAAAUGCCCGUCACCGCUCUCUCCGCCCCUACGCGCCCCACGCCGCGGCCGCCUGAUAGCAAGCUUAUAGUUAAGAAUUUCAUUGACAAAAAGAAUGGUAACCGAACACAGUGGGUUCGCCCCUUGGUGAUGUGGAACCAGUGAGCACAAUCAGAAAAGAUCCGAGUGAAGAAUGAUUUACUUAUAAGGCUGCUUCCCGUUUUUGACCCUAAUGACCACCAAGGGCCCCAGACCCACCACCAAGCUGCAGGACCCACAGGAGCGAUGCUUCUUAGUCCCCUCUGCGACUUUCCGACUUUCCAACUCCAUACCUUCAACUCAGGGACUCAGCAGGGCUGCACCUGCGCUCCUCCUUCCUGUGCUGCGAGAUGGAACCUUUCUCCAGGCAGUAAACAGGACAAGUUCUAGGUUCACUACCACAAUCCUGCCAUAAAAUACUUCAUUGCCAUCAUUCUGAAAAACUCUGUGCCCCUUGCAGCCAAUCCUGGUAUUUGGCAGCCAUCCAUCUGCUUUUGUCACUGGAGUUUUUCCUUUUCUGGAAUUUCAUAUGAAUGAAACAAUUGACAAGUAUUGGUUUUGUUGAGUCUGGCUUUUCUGUAUCAGUACUUUGUUUUUGUUCUAUAAUAUUCCAUUGUAUGGAUACACUGAAAUGUGCUUAUCCAUUUGAUGGACAUUUGAAUUGUUUCCAUUUUGGGCUGCUCUGGAUAUUGGCAUGCAAAUCUUUGGGGUGAACACCUAGAAAAAAAGAAUCUCUAGGUUGCACAGUGUUCGUUGAGCCUUUUAAGAAAUUGCUAAAAUUGCUAAUGUGUUUUCCAAAGUAGUUACAGUGUUUGUGUUCCCAUUGGCAGUGUAGAAGGUUCUGGCAUUCCACAUUCUUGCCAGUGCAGACAUAUCUUGUGUUCCCCUUCACUGCAUUUUCACGGGUAUUGUACUUGAUACAAAUUGAAGGUCUGUGGCAACACUUGGUCAAGCAAGUCUAUCAGCACCAUUUUUUCCAACAGUUCAGAUGCUUGUUAGCAUUUUUUUAGCAAUAAAGUAUUUUUAAACUCAGGUAUAAUUUUUAACAUAAUGCUUUUGCACACUUGAUAGGUAAAAGUACAGCGUUAACUUUCCUAUGCACUGAAAACCCAAAAAACAUGUGACGUACUUUUUUGUAUUGGCUUUAUUCCAAUGAUCCGAAACCAAACACACAAUAUCCCCAAGGUACACCUGCACUUGGUAUUGUUAGUCUUUUAAAUGUAGCCAUUCUAAUUUGCAGUAGUGGGGAUUGAACCCAGAAGCACUCUUCCACUGAACUUCAUCCCCGGCCCUUUUAAAAAGUUUUAAAUUUGAGACAGGGUCUCACUAAGUUGUCCAGACUGGCCCGGAGCUUGCUUUCCUGCCUCCGCCUCCCCAGUAGCUGUGUUCCAGGCAUGGGCCUCUGCGCUCAGUAUUUGAGUUUGAUGGAAUUCACUGUUAUUUUCUUUGGUUUGUGUUCUUCAUGUCCUAAGAAAUCUUUGCUUACCCAAAUGUCACAAAGAUCAUCUGUGUUUUCCUCUAAAAAUGUCAUGAUUUUUACUUUUACAUUUAUGUUAAUGGUACUUUUUAAAAAAUGUUGUUGUUGUUGUUGAUGGACCUUUUUUUUUUAAAUUAAUUAGUUUAUUUAUUUAUAUGUGGUG